AUUUCCCAAAAUGCUGGAAUUACAGGCUAAGAACAAAUAACAUGAGAUCUGUCUUCUUAUCAAAUUUCCGUCUCUUCCUUCAGCAGAAGCCAAGUGGAAUUGCAAGUCAUACGAACCUUAGGAUGUCAGAGCAACUGAGACACUGGGGAUCGUCUAGUGUGUUCCCAGCUUUGGACCUCUUUGAGAAUUUGAAAAGAAAGCUAUAAACCCUCCUCGGAAAAAGUAUACAUGCAUUCAGAAUGUUCAUACUGUAUCAGGGGCCUUUUGUUCUUCUGGGCCAAAAAUCAUAACCCAGGUAAGGAACACUUGAUUUAGUCCAACUCUUUCAUUUUGAUAACAAACUGAAUCUCAUAGAAGCCAACUGAUUAACUUAAGAUUCUAUUUAAGCCUACAAAUUAUAUUAUCU